UCUUCAAUCGAGCCAACAACCAGCCAAUCACAUCACGCUCCGAAGAUCACGUGACAGGUACCGCCUCACGGCCAGCAGUAGGGCAGAGAACCGCUCAAUGCGGCUCACAGCCCCCUCCGCUGCUGCUCUCGAGUAGGUUGAAAAGAAGAUGGAGAAGUUUCAGCUUGCAGCUAUGGAGAGUUCACCACGAAAAGAACGAAGUCAAAGAAUACAAAGAUCUGUCCAUAUUCUGAAGUCACCACUUGAAGAUUUUAUGCAGAAUUAUUUGGAUUAUGAAUAGGAACCACAUUAUUUGCAACAGCUUUUAUUAUUUAUACAAACAAGAUGAACAUGAUAUGAUGUGCCAGAAUAUAGGGAGGCUGCCUAAAACACACAAAAAAAUACAGAACACAUGUAAACAACUAAAGAAAAACAGAACAUGGCACAUGUAAAUAAAUCAAAUAAACACAGCACAGACUGCAUGAAAUUGGAUUUCUUUAUUUGUUCUUUAAAAGUUUGGAGAAAGGAAACCUGUGGAAUACAAAAGAAACUUGAAAAAUUACUGCAUUUGAUACAUGAAUAUAAUUAAACAUUUUAAGAACAUUA